CCAAUCACAGCUGCUGGAUCAGAUUAGUGCGAGCUCUAAUGCGCGGCGCUCAGACACAAAGACACCCCGCCGGAGCGAGGGGCCUGCUGCCUCCCAGGAGCGUCCUUCCCUCCGGGCCCGCCGGCCCGGCCCUCCGGCCCGGACCCAGGUCCCCACGCGGGCGCCUGGGCCUCGGCCUCUGGCCCCCACGCCGCCAGCAUCCGCUGGCCCGGGGACCUCCCACCCUGGAGACGGGGAGCUGGGAACUCACCCAGUCGCCGACUCACAUCCUAUUUCCCAAGCCACCUUCUUUGCCCUUCGCCCAAAGGGAACUGCAGAUGCCUCGAUAGGACAGUAGAGACCCAGCCUGUAGCCUGUCUCGCGCAGGAGCCGAUCAGGGACCCCGGAAGGAGUGGGGGAAGGUGCAACCGCCCAUGGCCUGGACAGGUGCAAGCUCCCAGGAGGCCCAGCGGGUGACUGGAUUGAACUGGCUACAGGAGAGCAGCCUCCCUCGGGAGAAUGGAGAUAACCACUGGAGUGACCUGGCUGGACUCUGCUCACUGCUGACCAAUCCCAGGCUUUUCCCACCCCCGGCAAGCCCCCCGAUUUCACCCACCUUCCCGAACUGCUCAAAAUAUUGCU